rnacentral:rRNA from 1 species
AUUGAACGCUGGCGGCAGGCUUAACACAUGCAAGUCGAGCGGGGUGAUGGUGCUUGCACUAUCACUUAGCGGCGGACGGGUGAGUAAUGCUUAGGAAUCUGCCUAUUAGUGGGGGACAACAUCUCGAAAGGGAUGCUAAUACCGCAUACGUCCUACGGGAGAAAGCAGGGGAUCACUUGUGACCUUGCGCUAAUAGAUGAGCCUAAGUCGGAUUAGCUAGUUGGUGGGGUAAAGGCCUACCAAGGCGAAGAUCUGUAGCGGGUCUGGGAGGAUGAGCCGCGAAACUGGGACUGAGACAAGGGCCAGACUGCUACGGGAGGUAGCGGUGGGGGAUAUUGGACAAUGGGGGGAACCCUGAUCCAGCCAUGCCGCGUGUGUGAAGAAGGGCUUAUGGUUGUAAAGCACUUUAAGCGAGGAGGAGGCUCUUUUGGUUAAUACCCAAGAUGAGUGGACGUUACUCGCAGAAUAAGCACCGGCUAACUCUGUGCCAGCCGCCGCGGUAA